UACGAAGGGGGCUAGCGUUGUUCGGAAUUACUGGGCGUAAAGCGCACGUAGGCGGGUCGUUAAGUCGGGGGUGAAAUCCUGGAGCUCAACUCCAGAACUGCCUUCGAUACUGGCGAUCUUGAGUCUGGGAGAGGUGAGUGGAACUCCGAGUGUAGGGGUGAAAUUCGUAGAUAUUCGGAAGAACACCAGUGGCGAAGGCGGCUCACUGGCCCGGUACUGACGCUGAGGUGCGAAAGCGUGGGGAGCAAACAGG
rnacentral:rRNA from 1 species